rnacentral:rRNA from 1 species
UCCAGACUCCUACGGGAGGCAGCAGUGAGGAAUAUUGGUCAAUGGGCGCGAGCCUGAACCAGCCAAGUCGCGUGAGGGAAGACGGUCCUAUGGAUUGUAAACCUCUUUUGUCGGGGAGCAAAAGACGCCACGCGUGGCGUUCCGAGAGUACCCGAAGAAAAAGCAUCGGCUAACUCCGUGCCAGCAGCCGCGGUAAUACGGAGGAUGCGAGCGUUAUCCGGAUUUAUUGGGUUUAAAGGGUGCGCAGGCGGGCUGUUAAGCCGGCGGUAAAAAUUCAGGGCUCAACCCUGUCGAGCCGUCGGAACUGGCAGUCUUGAGUGGGCGAGAAGUAUGCGGAAUGCGUGGUGUAGCGGUGAAAUGCAUAGAUAUCACGCAGAACGCCGAUUGCGAAGGCAGCAUACCGGCGCCCAACUGACGCUGAGGCACGAAAGCGUGGGGAUCGAACAGGAUUAGAUACCCGGGUAC